UACGUAGGGGGGCUAGCGUUGUCCGGAAUCAUUGGGCGUAAAGCGCGUGUAGGCGGUCCGGUAAGUCCGCUGUGAAAGUCCAGGGCUCAACCCUGGAAUCGCCGGUGGAUACUGUCGGGCUCGAAUCCGGAAGAGGUGAGUGGAAUUCCUGGUGUAGCGGUGAAAUGCGCAGAUAUCAGGAGGAACGACCAAUGGCGAAGGCAGCUCCACUGGGACGGUAUUGACGCUGGAGACGCGAAAGCGUGGGGAGCAAACAGG
rnacentral:rRNA from 1 species